rnacentral:rRNA from 1 species
UGAGGAAUAUUGCGCAAUGGGCGAAAGCCUGACGCAGCGACGCCGCGUGGACGAUGAAGGUCUUCGGAUCGUAAAGUCCUUUUCUGCGUUGACGAGGAAGGACGGUAGCGCAGGAAUAAGUGUCGGCUAACUACGUGCCAGCAGCCGCGGUAACACGUAGGACGCAAAGCGUUAUCCGGAAUUACUGGGCGUAAAGGGCGUGUAGGCGGCACGGUAAGUCAACCGUGAAAGCUCCCGGCUAAACUGGGAGAGGUCGGAUGAGACUGCCGAGCUAGAGGGUCGUAGAGGGGUGUGGAAUUCCGGGUGUAGUGGUGAAAUGCGUAGAGAUCCGGAGGAACACCAGAGGCGAAGGCGGCACCCUGGACGACACCAGACGCUGAGACGCGACAGCACGGGGAGCGAACGGGAGUAGAUACCGGUACGG